rnacentral:rRNA from 1 species
AAAACAUUCUACCCCUUAGUAAAGGAGAUUAAAAAGGACCCAGGAACAAUAACACGAGUACCGCGAGGGAACGUUGAAAUAGAGAUGAAAAGCCCAGUGAAGAAACAUAAAGCAGAGACUUAACCUCGUACCUUUUGCAUCAUGAUUUAGCGAGCAAACCUUAGGCAAGAAGACCCUUAGUCUAACAAGCCCGAAACUAGAUGAGCUACUCCAAGCCAGCAUAACCAUUUUAGUGCCCACCCGUCUCUGUUGCAAAAGAUGUGGGGAGAGCUUCGAGUAGGAGUGAUAAACCUAUCGAAUCUAGUAAUAGCUGGUUUUCUGAGAAGUAGAUAUUAGUUUAGCCUUUAAAUUUCCCCAUUCUCAAGCCCUAAGCAUUUUAAAAAAUUUUUAAAACUAAAAAGGAUAACGAGAAAUUUACAGAGUUAGUCAAACGGGUUCCAGCUCCUUUGAUUUGAGAAACAACUCCUACUGACAGGGUAAGGAUCAUAUUUAUUAAGGUUUAUUAUACAUGUGGGCCUAAAAGCAGCCAUCCUACCAGAAAGCGUUAUAGCUCGAAUAAACUUCAUCCAACAAUAACGUAAACUAGUCCUAACCCGCCCAAUUAUAUCAGAAUGUCUUAUUUUAUAAUAAAAGAAACUAUGCUAAUAUUAGUAAUAAGAGACCCGACCCUCUCCUUGCACAAGUGUAACUCAUAAUGGACUAGCCACUGAGAAAUAACGACCCUAAUACUAGAAGGCAAAGGAAAUAAGAUCAAAUACCAGAAAAACCCCCUAACCCACCCGUUACCCCUACACUGGAGUGCCCCUAAGGAAAGAUGAAAAUGAAGAGAAGGAACUCGGCAAACUCUAAGCCCCGCCUGUUUACCAAAAACACCGCCUCUUGAUAAACAUACAUAAGAGGUCGAGCCUGCCCAAUGAUAAUUGAUUUAAUGGCCGCGGUAUUUUGACCGUGCUAAGGUAGCGUAAUCACUUGCCCUUUAAAUGAAGGCCAGUAUGAAAGGUUUGACGAGGGCUUAACUGUCUCCUCUCCACCAUCAAUGAAAUUGAUCUCUCCGUGCAAAAGCGGAGAUAUGUAUAUAAGACGAGAAGACCCUGUGGAGCUUAAGAUAAAGCUUUAGACCCCGCCAAAGAAUCUAAAUAUAGGACUAAGCCGAAAGUAGCUAAAGACUAUCUUCAGUUGGGGCGACUACGGGGAAUACAAAACCCCCGCGAAGACUGAGAAGACUACUCUUCUUAAAUCUUAGAACUACCCUUCAAAUCAAUAGAACUUCUAACUUUUUAUGAUCCGACCAGUUGAUCAACGAAUAAAGUUACCCCAGGGAUAACAGCGCAAU